rnacentral:rRNA from 1 species
UGGGGGAUAUUGCACAAUGGGCGAAAGCCUGAUGCAGCGACGCCGCGUGGGGGAUGAAGGCUUUCGGGUUGUAAACCUCUUUCGCUAUCGAACAAGGCCCGCUUAGGGUGGGUUGAGGGUAGGUGGAGAAGAAGCGCCGGCUAACUACGUGCCAGCAGCCGCGGUAAUACGUAGGGCGCGAGCGUUUUCCGGAAUUAUUGGGCGUAAAGGGCUUGUAGGCGGCUUGUUGCGCCUGCUGUGAAAACGCGGGGCUUAACUUCGCGAGUGCAGUUGGUACGGGCAGGCUUGAGUGUGGUAGGGGUGACUGGAAUUCCAGGUGUAGCGGUGGAAUGCGCAGAUAUCUGGAGGAACACCGAUGGCGAAGGCAGGUCACUGGGCCAUUACUGACGCUGAGGAGCGAAAGCAUGGGUAGCGAACAGG